GACGUAGGGCGCGAGCGUUGUCCGGAUUUAUUGGGCGUAAAGAGCUCGUAGGUGGUUUGGUAAGUCGGAUGUGAAAUCUCCAGGCUCAACCUGGAGGGGUCAUUCGAUACUGCCAUGACUAGAGGUCGGUAGGGGAGUGUGGAAUUCCUGGUGGAGCGGUGAAAUGCGCAGAUAUCAGGAGGAACACCGGUGGCGAAGGCGGGUCUCUGGGCCGAUACUGACGCUGAGGAGCGAAAGCGUGGGGAGCGAACAGG
rnacentral:rRNA from 1 species